UUUGGCAUUGGGCUUACGAUCAGCAAUAGCAUUACCCACAGCAUGUAGUAAGUGCGUUUUACCUAAACCAGUACCACCAUA
rfam:Photobacterium damselae subsp. piscicida DI21 genomic scaffold scaffold00008, whole genome shotgun sequence.